UACGUAGGGUGCAAGCGUUGUCCGGAAUUAUUGGGCGUAAAGAGCUCGUAGGCGGUUCGUCGCGUCGGCUGUGAAAACCCGGAGCUCAACUCCGGGCCUGCAGUCGAUACGGGCGGACUUGAGUGUUGCAGGGGAGACUGGAAUUCCUGGUGUAGCGGUGAAAUGCGUAGAUAUCGGAAGGAACACCAGUGGCGAAGGCGGCUACCUGGCAUGAUACUGACACUGAGGCGCGAGAGCGUGGGGAGCAAACAGG
rnacentral:rRNA from 1 species